rnacentral:rRNA from 1 species
CCGAGAAUAUUCCGCAAUGGACGAAAGUCUGACGGAGCGACGCCGCGUGAACGACGAAGGUCUUCGGAUCGUAAAGUUCUUUUAUGGGGGAGGAAAUUUUGACGUUACCCCAUGAAUAAGAGGCUCCUAACUCUGUGCCAGCAGGAGCGGUCAUACAGAGGCCUCAAGCGUUACCCGGAAUCACUGGGCGUAAAGGGUGUGUAGGUGGUGGCAUUAGUCUCCUGUUAAAUACCGGGGCUUAACCUCGGAAGUGCGGGGGAAACGGUGCCACUAGAGGGUGAGAGAGGUGUACGGAACUCAUGGUGUAGGGGUGAAAUCCGUUGAUAUCAUGGGGAACACCAAAGGCGAAGGCAGUACACUGGCUCAUUCCUGACACUGAGACACGAAAGCGUGGGUAGCG